GGAGCUAAAAAUAAUGUGAGCCACUUCAGGGUUGCACUGCCCAUCUCUGGAUCUCAGUCUUCUGAAAUUUCAGCUCCUUCAGCAGCCGGAGCACUUGAGGCUGCAAGGGAAGCAGAGCAGAGUGAGCAGCACGGCGGGGACACAGGGUAUCCAGCACUGAGGCCUGGGGAGGAUGUUGCCAGGACAACAGCUCUCCCUUUGCUUCCACGGUGGGAUGGAGCAGAUCUCAAAUGGAGCUUUAGGGCCACGCUGGGGAACAGGGUUUCCCCCCUGCUAGCAUUACCGUUCCCCAACUCGGCCCUAAAAUAUAUAAAAUUUCUAAAAUAUA